rnacentral:rRNA from 1 species
UACGAGGGAUGCAAGCGUUAUCCGGAAUUAUUGGGCGUAAAGCGUUCGUAGGUGGCUAUGUAAGUCUGUUGUUAAAGAGUGGAGCUUAACUCCAUAAAGGCAAUGGAAACUGUAUGGCUAGAGUGUGGUAGGGGUAACAGGAAUUCCCAGUGUAGCGGUGAAAUGCGUAGAUAUUGGGAAGAACACCAGCGGCGAAAGCGUGUUACUGGGCCACAACUGACACUGAGGGACGAAAGCUAGGGGAGCGAAAGGG